rnacentral:rRNA from 1 species
GACGAACGCUGGCGGCGUGCUUAACACAUGCAAGCCGAACGCGCUUGGCCUUUUUUGGGUUGGGUGAGUGGCGAACGGGUGAGUAACACGUGGGUGACCUGCCUUGAGCUCUGGGAUAAGCCUGGGAAACUGGGUCUAAUACUGGAUAUGACCAAUUCUUGCAUGGGGUUGGUGAAAGUUUUGUUCUUGUUGGACAUUUCGGCUCGAGAUGGGCCCGCGGCCUAUCAGCUUGUUGGUGGGGUGAUGGCUUACCAAGGCGG